UGAAACCUCAUUUUUGGACAAAGGGAUCAUAACUUCAGAUUCAGAUAGCGAGGACUCAGUCACCCUUGAAUUAUGCCCCAUUGAGGAUGACAGAUCUGAUUGAUAUGUGCUGCUGUUCAUAAAAAAUGCAGGCUGAGAAGGUAUUUGCAAUGUGAGGGAAGAGCUGCUUAGCAUGAGAACUACUGAAGCCAUUGUCGGCCUUUCAGCUACAUUUUCUUGAACGCAGAGUAACCCAAUGUGGAUGCAUCUCAUCAUUUCUGUUGCUGAGCCACUACUCAAAACGGGAUCUAUCAUAUCUUGAGCAGUCCCUUCCCUCCAGUUUCUCCAUGCCUAAAAAAUUUAUCCAAAGUGAAUUCACAAUAUUGAAGGUCUUGCGGAUAUCCCUAUAAAGCCUUGAAUAACGUGUUUGAUUUGUGGAUUGUUCUAUACUUACAUGGCUCAUAAGGUGCUCUAUGUCAUUUCCAUUGCGAAAACUAUUUUUUUUACCAGUCACAAUCUCCAAAACUAGCACGCCGAAACUAAA